rnacentral:rRNA from 1 species
AUUGAACGCUGGCGGCAGGCCUAACACAUGCAAGUCGAACGAGGGGCGGACGGGUGAGUAAUGUCUGGGAAACUGCCCGAGGGAGGGGGAUAACUACUGGAAACGGUAGCUAAUACCGCAUACCAUGGGAUGUGCCCAGAUGGGAUUAGCUAGUGGGGGGGGUAACGGCUCACCUAGGCGACGAUCCCUAGCUGGUCUGAGAGGAUGACCAGCCACACUGGAACUGAGACACGGUCCAGACGCCUACGGGAGGCAGCAGUGGUGAAUAUUGCACAAUGGGCGCAAGCCUGAUGCAGCCAUGCCGCGUGUAUGAAGAAGGCCUUCGGGUUGUAAAGUACUUUCAGCGGGGAGGCGUUACUCGCAGAAGAAGCACCGGCUAACUCCGUGCCAGCAGCCGCGGUAAUAC